rnacentral:lncRNA from 1 species
ACAGCUUCCAGCAUGUGUUGUGAAACAUUUCUUCUGAUGUCUAAAAUUGAAACAAUUACUAUGAUCUACAAAAUUUGAAGAACAACUAUGAAUCAAUAAUUUACUGCUAUAAUCAACAAAGGAUAAACUAACUUCAUCUGACACACGCUGAAUAAUCUACAUAAAUAUGAUUGCAAGUCAUGGCAAGUAUUCGUAAGUGGAUUUGAGAAAGUCCAUGCAUGGGAGCAGGACAAAGAGAAAUAAUCUGAUCAUCCCUAAGAGGUUUCAAAGUGGGAUGUCAGCCAUAGCAGAAAUCAGAGAGCCCUGGUGAAACUUAUUAGCAAACAUUGCUUGAGAGCCUUGUCUAGGCACGAGCAAUGAAAGGAAGAAAUAAAUAUUUCAUUUUUCCUUUCUGUCCACGGGCA